rnacentral:lncRNA from 1 species
UCGUUUUUCACGCAGCUGAUGCACAUGAGCCUUCUACAUCUGUUCGUGUUAGGCGGUCUGUCAUGCCUGCUGCGUUUGAUGUUCAUUGAGGCUGUGAGGUAUCGUCGAGCUCUAGACAUUAAAUUAAGCACUUGUUGGGAGGUAACCCAACUGUUUUUCUUUGUUUUGUUUUCCUUUCUUUUAGUUUCGUUUUGUUUCUUUUUGUUUUGUCUUGUUCCUUUUUGUUUCGUUGUUUUGUUUGGGUUUUUGGUACAGCGUGAGCUUGGAAGAUGCGGAAACUCGCGCCUUGUUCAUACCACCACCAUGGAGCAUGUGUUUCUGUGAGUAGUGACACACAUAUCAUCAUCCCUCCAAACUUAUUUUCGAACUUAUGUUCUGUAAUAAGUUUGGGGGAGGGGGUGAGAUUAGAUAUGUGUAUCACUUUUAUCUUUUUGUUGGCUUUAUUGUUUUAUCUUGCUUGGUUGGUGGUGUGUGAUUGUUUAGUGCUCCAUUAGAUUUCUGGUGAGAUGCCAAUGAUGAUUUCUGUGAAAAAAAAAUUGAAUUUGAUUUUCUUUGAUGAUUUAAGCAUAAUUGGAACUAAUUUGCAUAAUUCUAGAGUGAUUUUAACCUUGACUUUUGGACGUUGAAUAAACCUGUGAGAUUUUGAGCCAUAACUGUUUUUCAUGCACAGUUUAUUCUUUAUUGUGAGUUUUGUCAUGCAUGUGGUGAUCUUCUAGAACUUGCCAUGGUUUCUGUGUCGAGGUUGCUGUUGUGCCCAGGAUUAGGAGAUGAUUUUAGGCCAUCUUUUGUUAGCCACAUUUUUUAUCCCAAACACUGUCCUUGAAUAUUUUAUCCUUUGUUAUCCUCUUUGAGCCUAUUUAGCUUUUAUUCUUUAGCCGGAUGAUAGGGGGUGAUGUAGUAUAUGGGGAUCCUUAUGUGGUGAAUGUUCAAAGUGGGUUGUGAAAAAGAAGGGAUGAUUUUGUGCUACUAUUUACUCUUAUAAGCUCUAGAAAAGUUGUGGAAAAAAAAAAAAAAAAAAAAAGAAAAAAAAAGAAAAAGAAAAAGAAAAAGAAAGAAAAAAAAAAAAAGUGUAAAGUCGAGUGUUUAUUGAGAAAUUUGUUAGAAAAUCGACUUUGUUUGUUGGAAAUAAAUGGAGAGCAUAAAAGAGUGUUUAGUUCUGUUUUGUGAUGAUUAAAUCCCUUGGUUGGAGUUGAUUAUGGUGACAUAGUUUGGUGGAAGAUGGAAUUUAUUCCAUACUUGCUUUGUGAAGUUAUAAGGUUGGUGUUCUUAAUUAUGUUGAGUCACUUAGCCUAUAUUUCCCUACCUUAACCAAUGUCCCUACAUUAUAACCCGAAGAAAAAGACCUUUCUGAUCUUAGCCCUGGCACACUUUUAGCGAUGGAGAUUGUAGACGAUUGGCAAGCCUAUGGUAAGAAAUCUGCAUUGCAUUGAAUUCGAUGAGAGUGUACACGUCC